CGAACGGUAACGCGGGGCAACCUGGCGACGAGUGGCGAACGGGUGAGUAAUAUAUCGGAACGUGCCCAGUAGUGGGGGAUAGCCCGGCGAAAGCCGGAUUAAUACCGCAUGAGACCUAAGGGUGAAAGCGGGGGAUCGCAAGACCUCGCGCUAUUGGAGCGGCCGAUAUCAGAUUAGGUAGUUGGUGGGGUAAAAGCCUACCAAGCCGACGAUCUGUAGCUGGUCUGAGAGGACGACCAGCCACACUGGGACUGAGACACGGCCCAGACUCC
rnacentral:rRNA from 1 species